CUACGGCACAAAAGAAUUACAGAG
rnacentral:piRNA from 1 species